rnacentral:tRNA from 1 species
GCUCAGGUGGUGGAAUUGGUAGACACGCUGUCUUCAGGCGGCAGUGCCGCAGGGCAUAGGGGUUCGAGUCCCCUCCUGAGCACCA